CAGCCGCCGCGGUAAAACGGAGGGUGCAAGCGUUAAUCGGAAUUACUGGGCGUAAAGCGCACGCAGGCGGUCUGACAAGUCAGAUGUGAAAUCCCCGGGCUUAACCUGGGAACUGCAUUUGAAACUGUCAGGCUGGAGUCUUGUAGAGGGGGGUGGAAUUCCAGGUGUAGCGGUGAAAUGCGUAGAGAUCUGGAGGAAUACCGGUGGCGAAGGCGGCCCCCUGGACAAAGACUGACGCUCAGGUGCGAAAGCGUGGGGAGCAAACAGGAUUAGAGACCCCUGUAGUCCCUGUCUCUUAUAC
rnacentral:rRNA from 1 species